AUGUAUCAAAUUAAUGCUCCAUUAAACCUAAUCAUCCAACUAAUCACGAUUAACUCACAUAACCCUAAUUAAUCAUUAAUUUUAAUGUUAAUCCUAGUGUUAACUAAAAUUGAAAGAAAGGGGAAAUUAGGUUAGCACUCCACACCAAUGAACUCUCAAACGGAUCUCUCUAUCGUGAACGGCGCAUCCCUUCAAUUCGCCUUCUAUACACAAGCUCAACAAUUUCGACACACGCAACUGAUUCGUACAGCGAAGAGGAGUCAUAAAGCAAAGGAAGUUGCUUACCUGGAUUUGCAGAGAAAUUAUAGAUCGAAGGGGAGAUUCCGAGCAGAAAGUCGAGAAUAAGCUUCGAUGUCAGAGACGAACCAAAGUUAAUUGAGAUUGUUGAAUCGUGUUACGAUGUGUCUUAAAGAUUUACUGAAGAGUGAGCGGUGGAAUUCGAUUCUUGUGAUUGAUGAAGAACUGAGAUGAAGAUUUUGGAGAUUGUGUCAAUGGAGGAAGUUGCAGAAGUGAAGACGAGUGUGAGUGGUUCAGUGGAGUUGAGAGGCUGAAGAAAGGUGGUGAUUUGCAGAGAAUGAGAGAAGGUUGAAGAUGAAGAAUUCAGAGAGAGUGAAUUGGAGAAGAUUGAAUGAUGGAGAAGGGUGAAGAAAUGGGGUGAGUGAACAAAAAUGGUGGAGGAGCUUGUAGAUUGGGGGGAGAAGAUAUUAUAUACAGGUUGAAGGGAUUGAGGAAGUUAGUUAUGAAUGGAGGGGUAGUUACACGAUUCUUUUAUGCAGUUAGAGAUGGGUGGUUAUGUCAUUUGGCAGUUGGAGGGCUGCGGACUGGAUUAGCUUGGGUGGGAGUUAAGAACUGAGCCGAUGUUUAUCUGUGAAGGUUGACGUUGUGCUGUCCAGUUAGCAAGCAGUUAAGGCAGCUUUUUGGAACAUGAAGUUGUUUGGAACAUGGAAUUGUGGCAGCAUUACUUGGUGUAUGGCAUGAAGUUGUUUGGAACAUGAUGCCUUGAAUUGUGGCAGCAUUGCAUGGUGUAUGGCAGCGAGCUGUUUGGAACCUGAUGUUUGAAGAUAUGAAUGCUACAGCUAGACUUUUAGGAUCCCAGCGGUCGGAAAUUGGGCCUAGACAACUCACCCGUGGGUUGGUUCGGUUCUGGAUUUUGGGCCCGAAUUCGAAUCGAACCGGUGCCCACCCCUACAUGAACCUUAUAAUUUCAAACUUAGAUGUACUUUGAACAUACUUAUGGUAACUUAUGAUUCAAGCAAUUAAUGAGGACUUUCCCUCCAUUUCAACUUAUGAUUAAAGCAAUUAAUGUGGACUUUCCCUCCAUUUCCAAUGUUCAAAUUCAAGUGUUUCCAA